CCUACGGGGGGCAGCAGUGAGGAAUAUUGGUCAAUGGCCGCAGGGCUGAACCAGCCAAGUCGCGUGAGGGAUGAAGGUCCUAUGUAUUGUAAACCUCUUUUGUCAGGGAGCAAAGGGUGCCACGUGUGGCGUUUUGAGAGUACCUGAAGAAAAAGCAUCGGCUAACUCCGUGCCAGCAGCCGCGGUAAUACGGAGGAUGCGAGCGUUAUCCGGAUUUAUUGGGUUUAAAGGGUGCGCAGGCGGAAUGUUAAGUCAGCGGUAAAAUUUCGGGGCUCAACCCCGUCGUGCCGUUGAAACUGGCGGUCUUGAGUGAGCGAGAAGUAUGCGGAAUGCGUGGUGUAGCGGUGAAAUGCAUAGAUAUCACGCAGAACUCCGAUUGCGAAGGCAGCAUACCGGCGCUCAACUGACGCUCAUGCACGAAAGCGUGGGUAUCGAACAGGAUUAGAUACCCUUGUAGUC
rnacentral:rRNA from 1 species